UGCGUAGGCGGGUCUUUAAGUCAGGGGUGAAAUCCUGGAGCUCAACUCCAGAACUGCCUUUGAUACUGAGGAUCUUGAGUUCGGGAGAGGUGAGUGGAACUGCGAGUGUAGAGGUGAAAUUCGUAGAUAUUCGCAAGAACACCAGUGACGAAGGCGGCUCACUGGCCCGAUACUGACGCUGAGGCAAAGACUGGGGAGCAAACA
rnacentral:rRNA from 1 species